CGGGUGAGUAACGCGUGGGUAACCUACCUCUUAGCGGGGGACAACUAUUGGAAACGAUAGCUAAUACCGCAUAACAAUCACUAACACAUGUUAGUGAUUUGAAAGCACCAAUUGGUGCACUAAGAGAUGGACCCGCGUUGUAUUAGCUAGUUGGUAGUGUAAUGGACUACCAAGGCGAUGAUACAUAGCCGACCUGAGAGGGUGAUCGGCCACAUUGGGACUGAGACACGGCCCAAACUCCUACGGGAGGCAGCAG
rnacentral:rRNA from 1 species